CAGCUGACCAUGGGGCACUCUGCCUUCAAGCCCAGCAGUAAGUCCAAUGUAUGGCAGGGCCUCUUGUCCAUCUCGGCUGAGAACACCCAUGUUAGCAAACACCAGCUCCUCAACACCAUCAUCAAGGGUACCUUUGCCUGUCAAAGUUGGCCUGGCACAUCCUUACUGGGAAAUAUGUAGCCAUGGGGGAUCAUUGACCAGACUCAACAGAAUUCCUCUAGCUUCCAGAGACAAUCCUGCGAAGUAAAAAGCAUGAAGGCUUAGAAUCAUCCCAUCAUGGUGAAAUUAUUUGAAGGGGUUGAGACUGAGAACAAGAUUCCUUGUCACGGACUACACCGCUGGAGAAGACGCAUUGGGCAGUGAGCCCCUUUUGCUUGGUAACAAAAUGACCAAGUCAAAUUCCGCCAGAUAGUGUCUGCUGUACAUUACUGUCACCAGAAGUUUGUUGUCCAUAGAGAUUCAAAAGCAGAUGAAAACCUGCCCUUGGAUGCUGACAUGAACAUCAAGAUUGCAGACUUUGGCAUCGGCAACAAAUUCGCUUUCGUCAACAAGGUGGUUAUCUUCCGGUUAUCCCUUUUGCUGCCCUGGAACUCUUCAUGGUCAAAAGUAUGAUGGACCCACCAUGGAUCUCAGGAGUCAGCUUCUAUACACUGGUCAAUGGAUCCCUGCCUUUGAUGGACAGAAUUUCAAGGAGCUGUAGGAUGAAGUACAGAGUAGAAUGUAUCACAUUCACUUCUACUUGUUCAUGGAAGGUGAAAACCUGCUUAAGAAAUUUCUCAUUCUCAAUUCCAGCAAGAGAGACACUUUGGAGCAAAUAAUGAAUGCUCCAUGGAUAAAUGUAUUCCAUAUCCCUCAUAAAGAUGAACUAAACCCUGUGUGGAGCCAUUUUAUGACUACAAGGACCUUCCCCCUCACCUGGCAACAGACAGAGUUGAUGGUGUCAGUAGGUUCCACACAUGAAGAGAUUUAAGACUUGCCUUGGGAGUACAAUGAGGUGAUGCCUUUCGAUCUGCUCUUGGGCUACAAGAGGUCCAAGCUGGAGGUCUGCACCAUCCCUUUGCAUCCCCAGCCUUUGGCUGAUCUGGCCAACACUUUCCCAUCCUACAAGGUACAGCACAGGAUCUCUGCCAGCCCCAAGCAUGAGUUUCAGGGAGCCUACCAUUCCCACCUUUAAUUGUUGUAUUAGUUAUUCAGAGGAGCAAGGCAGAUCCUCAAGAGGUUCCGGAGAUAGGGCAGAAGCCAGGGGCAUAGCCAAUGUGCCUGCCAGUCCCCCAUGCAGCCUGGAGCCCUCUCCACAAACAGCAAGUUCUCCUUCAAGUUUAUACAGAGGCAUCUUUGUUUCAGGUUUGCCAAAAGGAACCUUAAAAAACCGAGUGGAGAUAUUCAAACCUAAAGAGGCCGACCUAUACUUGCUACACUUUAUAUGUAGUAUGAAGAUCUCAGGCUCCAUGGAGCCCAAUGAGAUAACAUGGGAAUUUGGCAAGGUGCUCAACACAAACAGCUGCCAGGGCGAGCUGAGCAAGAAAUGGUGCUGCUGUGCAUGCAUGGUGUGCCAGGCCAGGAGGGCUUUGUGCAGCGGAAGGUGGAGGUGUGAAAACUCCCACAGCAGUCUCUCAGAGUUCAAUGGAAAUGCAUGCCUGGCACCUCCCUGGCCUUCAAAAGUAUUGCCU
rnacentral:lncRNA from 1 species